AUCUUGCGCAAUGGGCGAAAGCCUGACGCAGCCAUGCCGCGUGAAUGAUGAAGGUCUUAGGAUUGUAAAAUUCUUUCACCGGGGACGAUAAUGACGGUACCCGGAGAAGAAGCCCCGGCUAACUUCGUGCCAGCAGCCGCGGUAAUACGAAGGGGGCUAGCGUUGCUCGGAAUUACUGGGCGUAAAGGGAGCGUAGGCGGACAUUUAAGUCAGGGGUGAAAUCCCGGGGCUCAACCUCGGAAUUGCCUUUGAUACUGGGUGUCUUGAGUGUGAGAGAGGUAUGUGGAACUCCGAGUGUAGAGGUGAAAUUCGUAGAUAUUCGGAAGAACACCAGUGGCGAAGGCGACAUACUGGCUCAUUACUGACGCUGAGGCUCGAAAGCGUGGGGAGCAAACAG
rnacentral:rRNA from 1 species